rnacentral:tRNA from 1 species
UUUAAAAGACCUGAAUAGGAAUUGAUUUCGACUCAAUACUAAAAUAUUAAAUUAUUUUUUUAAAA